rnacentral:rRNA from 1 species
CCUACGGGGGGCAGCAGUGAGGAAUAUUGGUCAAUGGGCGCGAGCCUGAACCAGCCAAGUAGCGUGAAGGAUGAAUGCCCUACGGGUUGUAAACUUCUUUUAUAAAGGAAUAAAGUGAGGCACGUGUGCCUUUUUGUAUGUACUUUAUGAAUAAGGAUCGGCUAACUCCGUGCCAGCAGCCGCGGUCAUCCGGCGUAUCCGAGCGGUAUCCGGAUUUAGUGGGUUUAAAGGGAGGGGAGAUGGGUUGUUCAGUCAGCGGUAAAAGCCCGGGGCUCAACCCCGGCGAGCCGUGGAAACUGGCUGUCUUGAGAUGUCGAGAGGUAUGCGGAAUGCGCAGUGUAGCGGUGAAAUGCUUAGAUAUUGCGCAGAACUCCGAUUGCGAAGGCAGCAUACCGGCGGCGAUCUGACGCUGAGGCACGAAAGCGUGGGUAUCGAACAGGAUUAGAUACCCGAGUAGUC